rnacentral:misc_RNA from 1 species
UCACCGCUUGCGCGGGCGGUCUCACUAGAGUCCCCGGCUUGACCCGCUGGUAACUAGUGAUAGGGGUUGCGUUCGUUGCGGGACUUAACCCAACAUCUCACGACACGAACUGACGACAGCCAUGCAGCACCUCGCUAGAAGCCCUUGCGGGAGACCCCCUUUCAGGGGCUGUCCUCUAGCGUUCGAGCCUAGGUAAGGUUCCUCGCGUUGCAUCGAAUUAAGCCACAUGCUCCACCGCUUGUGCGGGCCCCCGUCAAUUCCUUUGAGUUUCACCCUUGCGAGCGUACUCCCCAGGUGGGAUGCUUAUCGCGUUAGCUUAGGCGCUGCCUCGAAUCGAGGCAACACCGAGCAUCCAUCGUUUAGGGCGUGGACUAC